CAGCCGCCGCGGUAAUACGGAGGGUGCAAGCGUUGUCCGGAUUUAUUGGGUUUAAAGGGUGCGUAGGCGGCCUAAUAAGUCAGUGGUGAAAGCCUCCAGCUUAACUGGAGAACUGCCAUUGAUACUGUUAGGCUUGAGUAUACUUGAGGUAGGCGGAAUUGACAGUGUAGCGGUGAAAUGCAUAGAUAUUGUCAAGAACACCAAUUGCGAAGGCAGCUUACUAAAUUAUAACUGACGCUGAGGCACGAAAGUGUGGGUAUCAAACAGGAUUAGAUACCCCGGUAGUCCCUGUCUCUUAUAC
rnacentral:rRNA from 1 species